CUUAGCUUUGGGGCAUCCUAGACCAGACCGUAGCUCCCACGGUCGACGAGGUGUCUUCAACCUCAGGUAUUUUUUUCCGUGUCCCUUGUUGCGCGCUGCGCGCGAGUGGCACCCUUCCAAGGAAGAAUCCGGCAUGGGUCGCCGCAGAAAUGACUGUGCACAGGUAGCCCGAGCCCGAGGAAGACGCUCUGGCUUUCUGGACAUCUGCUUUUCUGUUAGAGGAACCUUGAGGACUGAUCCAGUCUUGCAGGUCUAAAACCAUGGCUCAUGUUUGCUGUUUCAGACAUCGACAUUCAGGGAUGUGGCCAUACACUUCUCCCAGCAGGAGUGGGAAUGUCUCAACCCUGUUCAGAAGAACUUGUACCGGGAUGUGAUGAUGGAGAACUAUGAUAACUUGGUCUCACUGGGACAUUCCAUUUCUAAGCCAGAUGUGAUUUCAUUCUUGGAGCAAGGAAAAGAGCCAUGGAUGGUUGUGGGAGAAGAAACAAGAAGAUGGUGUACAGAUUUGAAUUCAAGAUAUGAAAUAAUGAGCUAUGAAAAUGUACAUAU